UACGGGGGAGGCGAGCGUUGUUCGGAAUUACUGGGCGUAAAGGGCUCGUAGGCGGCCAACUAAGUCAGACGUGAAAUCCCUCGGCUUAACCGGGGAACUGCAUCUGAUACUGGAUGGCUUGAGAUUGGGAGAGGGAUGCGGAAUUCCAGGUGUAGCGGUGAAAUGCGUAGAUAUCUGGAGGAACACCGGUGGCGAAGGCGGCAUCCUGGACCAACACUGACGCUGAGGAGCGAAAGCCAGGGGAGCAAACGGG
rnacentral:rRNA from 1 species